UACAGAGGGUGCAAGCGUUACCCGGAGUUAUUGGGCGUAAAGGGCGCGUAGGUGGCUAUUUACGUUGGAUGUGAAAUCCCCGGGCUUAACCUGGGGAGGUCAUUCGAGACUGGAUAGCUAGAGGGCAGUAGAGGGUGGUGGAAUUUCCGGUGUAGCGGUGAAACGCGUAGAGAUCGGGAGGAACGCCGGUGGUGAAGGCGGCCACCUGGACUGUGACUGACACUGAGGCGCGAGAGCGUGGGGAGCGAACAGG
rnacentral:rRNA from 1 species